AGGAGUGUAGCUCAAUAGGUAGAGCGUCGGUCUCCAAAACCGAAGGUUGGGGGUUCGAAACCUCUCGCUCCUGCCA
rnacentral:tRNA from 1 species